GUUGCUGCAAAUUCAGCGACCGGGUUUGGCGACCCGAACUAUCCAAGGCGCACAAGCGCCGCACCGCAGACAGCUGGCGCUUUUUUU
rnacentral:sRNA from 1 species